rnacentral:SRP_RNA from 1 species
UAGCGGUGCCCUGUGACCCGCAAUCCGCUACAGCGGGGUCGAACUCCCGGUCGAAGGUCCAGGCCUGGGGGGACUGGUCCGGCAAAGCGACGUCGAGGGUUGGGUCUUGCGCGGCGGAAGGCUAUGAACCCCGUCAGGUUCGGAAGAAAGCAGCGGUAAAUAGCUGUAUCCGGGUGCCGCAAGGUUGCCUGGCCUGAGUUGGCUGGCUGGGCUAAGCCUUUAGGCUGGAUCGACGGCGGGUGCACGG